CGGCGCGGGCGGAGGCGCGGCGCGGCCUGACGUAACCGGGCGCUCGGCCCCGCCGAACGCGGCUGACGCUGCGCGGCCAGAGAGCAGGCCCCGCCGCCGCCUGGGCUUGGAACGCAGCGCGCGCGGCCAUGGCCUCCGGCGCCGCAGCUAAGCGGGCGCAGGGCGAGCGGGCGGCGGGACGGCAGCCCCGGCCCCGGCCCCGUCCCCAGCGCGGGGCUGACCGUGUGCCCCCUCGUCUCGUCCCACAGAGGCGGACCCUCGACAGAGGCUGCUGCGCACCGUCAAGAAGGAGGAGGAGAUAAGAAUGCUGAGGAAGACUCUAUAACCAGGAAGGAACAGCAAAGUCAGCAAUGGAAGCAAAGGAAGAUGGUGUUGGUAUUAUUGAAAAUGUGCCACCAGAGCAAACAGUUAAUGACAGUGUGACUUCUGCUGGUGGAGUGCAUAAAAAUUGCAGAAGUGAUAUGAUGUCAGCAUUAGAAUUAGGAGAAGAGGAAGAUGUAGAAUCACCUUCUCUUCCUGAGGUACUGUCUUCUUCUUAUUUUUAAGUAUAAGCAUGGAGUGAUGUUAAAACGUCCAAGAGAUGCUUUGACUUCACUCUCUCAUCUCUGCAUUUGCCCACAGAAACAACUUCCUUCUAUGUUUUCCUAUAUGUGAUAAAAUAAUUAUGUGUUAAUUAUGAGCACACAGCAUAGUAGAGUUCUGCUAAUUUGCAGACGUAAUGAAAGUUGUGUAGUAUUAGUGCAGAAAACGAAGGCUUGGAGGGAAUGAGUUUGGGUUUUGAAGUUAAGGUAUCUGAAACACUAAAGAAUUACUCUAGGUCAACGUAUGGCCAAGUGUAUGAUCCUGUGGUGUAUACGGGAUCAUGUGUCAGACUCCUCCUGACAUCCAGAAAGAGUUUGGAUUAUGGU